AUUGAACGCUGGCGGCAUGCCUUACACAUGCAAGUCGAACGGCAGCACGGGGCAACCUGGUGGCGAGUGGCGAACGGGUGAGUAAUGCAUCGGAACGUGCCAUUGAGUGGGGGAUAACGUAGCGAAAGUUGCGCUAAUACCGCAUAUUCUGUGAGCAGGAAAGCAGGGGACCGCAAGGCCUUGCGCUCUUUGAGCGGCCGAUGUCAGAUUAGCUAGUUGGUGAGGUAACGGCUUACCAAGGCGACGAUCUGUAGCGGGUCUGAGAGGAUGAUCCGCCACACUGGAACUGAGACACGGUCCAGACUCCUACGGGAGGCAGCAGUGGGGAAUUUUGGACAAUGGGCGCAAGCCUGAUCCAGCCAUGCCGCGUGAGUGAAGAAGGCCUCGG
rnacentral:rRNA from 1 species